ensembl:lncRNA
UGUGAUUAUAGAUUGUGUGAAUAUAGAUUGUGUGAUUAUAGAUUGUGUGAUUAUAGAGUGUGUGAUUAUAGAUUGUGUGAUUAUAGAUUGUGUGAAUAUAGAUUGUGAUUUUGUACUGUGAUUUUAGUGAGUGUGUGAUUAUAGAUGAGUGUUGAUUAUAGAGUGUGUGAUUAUAGAUUGUGUGAUUAUAGAGUGUGUGAUUAUAGUGAGUGUGAUUAUAGAGUGUGUGAUUAUAGAGUGUGUGAUUAUGGAUUGUGUGAUUAUAGAGUGUGUGAUUAUAGUGAG